UGGGGAAUAUUGCACAAUGGGCGCAAGCCUGAUGCAGCCAUGCCGCGUGUGUGAAGAAGGCCUUCGGGUUGUAAAGCACUUUCAGCGGGGAGGAAGGCGAUAAGGUUAAUAACCUUGUCGAUUGACGUUACCCGCAGAAGAAGCACCGGCUAACUCCGUGCCAGCAGCCGCGGUAAUACGGAGGGUGCAAGCGUUAAUCGGAAUUACUGGGCGUAAAGCGCACGCAGGCGGUCUGUCAAGUCGGAUGUGAAAUCCCCGGGCUCAACCUGGGAACUGCAUUCGAAACUGGCAGGCUAGAGGCUUGUAGAGGGGAGUAGAAUUCCAGGUGUAGCGGUGAAAUGCGUAGAGAUCUGGAGGAAUACCGGUGGCGAAGGCGGCCCCCUGGACAAAGACUGACGCUCAGGUGCGAAAGCGUGGGGAGCAAACAGG
rnacentral:rRNA from 1 species